GUCCACACUGUAAACGAUGAUUGCUAGGUGUGGGGGUCUGACCCCUUCCGUGCCGGAGCUAACGCAAUAAGCAAUCCACCUGGGGAGUACGACCGCAAGGUUGAAACUCAAAGGAAUUGACGGGGACCCGCACAAGCAGUGGAUUAUGUGGUUUAAUUCGAAGCAACGCGAAGAACCUUACCAGCACUUGACAUCCAACUAACGAAUAGAGAUAUAUUAGGUGCCCUUCGGGGAAAGUUGAGACAGGUGGUGCAUGGUUGUCGU
rnacentral:rRNA from 1 species